AGCGAGAUGGCCCAGCUGGUAGGGUGUUGGGCUCAUAUCAAGGAACCCAAAGGUCGCUGGAUCGAAACCAGCUCUCGCUA